GUUCAAAUCUGGCGACCUGGCGGUGUCUAAACACUAUUGCCACUUACUUUCAUCUACAUUCAAGGCGAGGUGUUUGGCAUCUCAAACGAGCCUAAUGUCCUGGCAUAGGAGAAUUACUCCAUCUAACAGCCAACAUUUGGUCAUCCAUCUUGACCACUGCAAAUCUGAAACCUUGAAAAUAUAUACGAUCAACAGUGCGUUAAUAAUCACAAGAAAACACACGCAGAUGGAUCAAGAGUUCAGUUGAGAGAACAAUUAUGAGGAAAUGGACCCCAGCUGCAAAGCAAAUAAGGGUUCAGAAGACAGGCAGAGCUCUUGUGUAUGAAAGAGCACAAAUGACUGGAAUAACAUUGCCAAGGUCAUAGGCAGUAGUACCAGGAAGCCCAGCUAUUUAAUCAUGAAACUCUCCAUCAUCUGGCCCAGGGCCUGGGCUCAGCCUCCCUUCUCCGUCCAUUCUAAAGGGUCCUUGACGCAAUGGAUUUUGGCUCCUUCUGCUCGUAGAUGUAUGCCAUUAUCGUAAAAAAUGCCUCUGCAUAUGCAGUACUUUACAAUGUCCCCCAUCUGCCUGGCACAGAAAAACAUUCCAUCCAUGCUAUUCUGUGUUAUCAAAUCAUCAGAAUAUGAAAAGCAGCUGCACUGGAUUCUGACUUAUGGCAGUCUGCAGUUUAUAAAGGCAGGCGGUAUCGCAGCAUCAGGACCCGCACCAGCCGACUCCAUGACAGCUUCUUCCCCCAAGCAAUCAGACUUUUGAACUCUUGAUCUCUCAUGAUCAAUAUACAUCAGCACUGCACUUUAUUAUCUUAUUAUCUCACACCAGACUGUCAUAAAUUAUUUUCUCUCUUAACAAUGCACUGGCAACUGACUAUCAACCGACAGCCUGAAUGUCAAUACAGUACAAUACAACCUACUGUAUAUUUUAUAUAUACUUUAAAUACUAUUUUUAUUGUAUGUGUAUUCUAUAUUAUGUGUAUUCUAUAUUGUGUGUAUUGUAUACUGUACAUUGUAUAUUAUUAUUGUAUUGUGUAAUUAUGUGUAUAUUAGAUAUGUAAAUUGUGUUGUGUAAAUCUGAUGUUUAUUGUAAAUUGGUAUAUGUCUCAUCACUGUCAUGAUGCUCGGAACUGCACCCAAGACUUUCACCCACUGUUGCACUUGUGCAUAUGGUUGUGUGACAAUAAAAAAGUGAUUUGAUUUGUA